rnacentral:lncRNA from 1 species
AGGGUUAGGGUAGACCCAGGGUCCGUUUAGAAGCGAUACAGAGAGAAAGAACCAUAGCCAGAAGUCUCGAAGGGUACAGGGCAAAGUCAGAAAUCCACCUAUGAAACUAAUCCACUUGCCUUAUAAUUAAUUUGAUCCUAACAUCUUUAUGGUCGAAAGGAAAGAUGCUAUUGGGUAUCCUCCAACUUCCAUAGACGAAACACACUUAGAUAAAGCUUCUCUUGAUCACACACAUCUUGGUUUAGACUUAUACUGGGCGAACCUAUCUCUACAACAACACAGUCAACCGUACUCUACCUGCUUGCUACAGGCAAUUCAACCGCGACACGAUAACCUCUCUCCCACUUAGUAAAACCAAUCACCGAGACUUAACUCGCAACCCGCAGGCGCUUAAGAAUCCAGUCC